UGGGGAAUAUUGCACAAUGGGCGCAAGCCUGAUGCAGCCAUGCCGCGUGUAUGAAGAAGGCCUUCGGGUUGUAAAGUACUUUCAGCGGGGAGGAAGGGAGUAAAGUUAAUACCUUUGCUCAUUGACGUUACCCGCAGAAGAAGCACCGGCUAACUCCGUGCCAGCAGCCGCGGUAAUACGGAGGGUGCAAGCGUUAAUCGGAAUUACUGGGCGUAAAGCGCACGCAGGCGGUUUGUUAAGUCAGAUGUGAAAUCCCCGGGCUCAACCUGGGAACUGCAUCUGAUACUGGCAAGCUUGAGUCUCGUAGAGGGGGGUAGAAUUCCAGGUGUAGCGGUGAAAUGCGUAGAGAUCUGGAGGAAUACCGGUGGCGAAGGCGGCCCCCUGGACGAAGACUGACGCUCAGGUGCGAAAGCGUGGGGAGCAGACA
rnacentral:rRNA from 1 species